UACAUUUGUUUCUUUUCUUAAUUCUGAUUCUCUGAAAUUACUUAUUCUGUUUGCUAAGUUUUGUAUCUUCUUUCUUGUUUUUCUUAAAAGUUGGGUGACAAUAUUUUACAUGGGUAGUUUUUCUGUUAAUCAUAGCUUAUCUCCAAUGAUUAGGAAAAUAACAACUAUGAAGUAGGACAAAGUAACCUGGUUUCUUGUGUUUUAGCAUUGCUGCUCCCUGUUCCUUCCUGGUUUUGUUAAUUACCUGAGACUCUGCCCUGUUGAUGUUAGUCAGAUUCUAAGACUCACCUUGCCAAGCAAGCACUGCUUUGUUAUUCCAAAGUGAAGUUCAUUCUUACUUUGUCUGGAAAGCAGUCUCUGCAUCUUUUACCUCAUUAUUUCCCUCCUUUCAUAUUAUGUUUCUUCCUUUACCAAUUUUAAUGGAGCUUCCCCUUUUUUGUCUCUAAGAUCUCCUUCUCUAUCUCAAAAACAAAACAAAAAAACAUUAUCAGCAUUAACAUAUACAACAGAGAGCUUCAUUGAUGUGGUUUGGCUGUGUCCCCACCCAAAUCUCAUCUUGAAUUCCCAUACGUUGUGGGAGGAACCUGGUGGGAGGUAAUUGAAUCAUGGAGGUAGGCUUUUCCUGUGCUGUUUUCCUGAUAGUGAGUAAGUCUCAUGAGGUCUGAUGGUUAUUAUAAGGGGGAGUUUUCCUGCACAAGCUCUCUUUGCCUGCUGCCAUCCAUGUAAGAUACGACUUGCUCCUCUUUGCCUUCCACCAUGAUUGUGAGGCUUCCCCAGCUACAUGAAACUGUAAGUCCAAUUAAACCUUUUUUCUUUUGUCAAUUGCCCAGUCUUGGGUAUGUCUUUAUCAGCAGCAUUAAAACAGACUAAUACAGUAAACUGGUAUCAGUAGAGUGGGAUGCUGCUGAAAAGAUACCUGAAAAUGCAGAAGCAAUUUUGGAACUGCGUAACAGGCAGGGGUUGGAACAGUUUGAAGGGCUCAGCAGAAGACAGGAAAAUGCAGGAAAGUUUGGAACUUCCUAGAGACGUUUUGAAUGGCUUUGACCAAAACGCUGAUAAUGAUGUGAACAAUGAGAUCCAGGCUGAUGUGGUCUCAGAUGGAGUUGAGGAACUUGUUAGAAACUAGAGCAAAGUUGACUCUUGUUAUGUUUUAGCAAAGAGACUGGCAGCAUUUUGCCCGUGCCCUAAAGAUUAGUGAAACUUAGAACUUGACAGAAGAAUUAGGGUAUCUGACAGAAGAAAUUUCUAAACAGCAAAGCGUUGAAGAAGUGACUUGGGUGCUUUUAAAGGCAUUCAUUUUAUAAGGCAAGCAGAGCAUAAAAGUUCAGAAAAUUUGCAGCCUGACAAUGUGAUAGAAGAGAAAAACCCGUUUUCUGAGGAGAAAUUUAAGCUGGCUGCAGAAAUUUGCAUAAGUAACGAGGAACUGAAUGUCAAUCCCCAAGACAAUGGUGAAAAUGUCUCCUGGGCAUGUCAGAAGUCUUCACAGCAGCCCUUCCCAUCACAGUCUCAGAGGCCUAGAAUAAAAUGGUUUUGCUGGGCCCAGGGUCCCCAUGCUGUGUGCAGUGUAGGGUGUUGGUGCCCUGCAUCCCAGCCACUCCAGCUGUGACUAAAAGGGACCAAAGUAUAGCUUGAGCUGUUGCUUCAUAGGGUGGAAGCCCCAAGCCUUGGCAGCUUCCACGUGGUGUUGAGCCUGUGGAUGCACAGAAAUCAAGAAUUGAGGUUUGGGAACAUCUGCUUAGAUUUCAGAAGAUAUAUGGAAACACCUGGAUGCCCAUGCAAAAGUUUGCUGCAGAGAUGGGGCCCUCAUUGAUAACCUCUGCUAGGGCAGUGAGGAAGGGAAAUGUUGGGUGGGAGCCCCCACACAGAGUCCCUACUGGGGCACCGCCUGGUGGACCUGUGGGAAGAGGGCCACCAUCCUCCAGACCUCAGAAUGUUAGAUCCACCAACAACACCAUGUGCCUGGGAAAGCCACAGACACUCAACACCAGCCCACAAAAGCAGCCAGAAGGCAGGCUAUAUCCCGCAAAGCCACAGGGGCAGAGCUGCCCAAUACCAUGGGAACCCACCUCUUGCAUCUGCAUGAUCAGGAUGUGAGACAUGGAGUCAAAGGAGAUCAUUUUGGAGCUUUAAGAUUUGGCUGCCCCUCUGGAUUUCGGACUUGCAUGGGGUUAAGAAAUGAAAAGCAUAAAAAUUGAAAAGUGAAAAGAAAAAAUAUUUUUAUUCACAGAACAUAUAUAUGUAUAUUGUAUAUGAAGAAAAUCCUAAUAUAUUUAUUUAAAAAGCUGUGAAUAAUAAGAAUCAAAUUCAAUAAUGGUGCAGAAUGUGUAGAAUGCAAGGUCAAUACACAAAAUAUAAUAUGGAAAAUUAAUGGAAUUUCUAAAUACUAGAAAUAAACAAUUGAGAAUACAUUUAAAAGUAAAAUUUUAAUGGUAUAAAAAUAGUUAAGAAUAAUUUAAGUGAAACCUUUAAAAAUCUUUCACACUAAAACUUUUUAAAAUUUCUUGUAGAGAAACAUUACAGAAGACUUAAAUAAAUGUAAAGAUCUACCAUGUUCAUAGAUUUGAAGAUGCAACAUUGAUGUGAAUUCUCUGGAAGUUAAUCUUUAGAAUCAAUGCAGUAGCGGCUGGGCGCGGUUGCUCAUGCCUGUAAUCCCAGCACUUUGGGAGGCCAAGGUGGGCGGAUCACAAGGUCAGGAGAUCAAGACUAUACUGGCUAACACGAUAAAACCCUGUCUCUACUAAAAAAAAAAAAUACAAAAAAAUUAGCCAGGCAUGGUGGCACGGGCCUGUAGUCCCAGCUACUCAGGAGGCUGAGGCAGGAUAAUUGCUUGAAUCUGGGAGGCUGAGGUUGCAGUGAGCCAAGAUUGUGCCACUGCACUCCAACCUGGGUGACAAGGUGAGAUUCUGUCUCAAAAAAAAAAAAAAAAAAAAGCAUCAAUGCAAUCUAUAGUUUGUAGUUUAUUGACUACAAUGAAUUCUAUAUCUAUUUACUACAACUCUGUAGUAAAUUGUGGCAAACAUUUUGAGAGAAAUUCACAAGCUGUUUCCAAAAUUUGUUUGGAAAAUUCACAGGACCUAGAAUUUUGAGAAAAAAAUAGAGCCAAUUUUCAGACAUCUAAGAAAGCUGCAGUAUCAAAGCAUCAUAACACAAAAAUAAUAAGGAUAAAGAAGGGUUCAAAAUUAGACCUCCACCUAUGCAGUAAAUUAAAUGUUUAUAAGGGCAUGUAGAUAAUUCAGUGGGGAAAGUAAGUCUUUAACAAAGGCUUUUGAAAUAAAUGCAUUCUCAUAUUAAAAAAAUACAUGCAUCAGUCCUUUGUAUACACAAAACUAGUCCAAUAUUUUUAAUGUAGGCAUAAAAAUGAAAAAGCAAAAUUCAGAAAGCUUUUAAAAGAAAAAAAUUAAACAAUAUCUGCGAGCUAUUAUAAUAGGAAAAAUAUUUCUGAACAGAGAAAGCACUAUCAUAAGAGUAAAAAUUGAUAAAUUGUAGAUAUUAAUUAAAAAUGUAUCCUAAUAAAACUGCAAAAUGUAAGAAAAUAUAAUUUUAAGCCAUAGACUGUGAUAAAUGUAUGAGAAAAAAAUUGCGUGUUCAAAACGCACAGAGUACUCCUGAGAUCCACUAAAUAGUUAUAAGAAUCUUGAACAGGUAUUUCACAAAACAAGAGAUACAAGUGGCUUAUAAGAAUGUGAAAAGAUGCUCAGUGUUAUUAGAUAAGGGGAAAUGCAACCAAAAUGCAUCGAAACUGGAAAGACUACCAUUUAAAAUGAUAAUACUAAUAUUGGCAAAUAUGUGGGGAAACUAGAAGUCGUGUCUAUUUCUUGUGAGAGUGUAAAAUAGAACAACUGGCUGGGCGCGGUGGCUCAUGCCUGUAAUCCCAGCACUUUGGGGGGCCGAGGCGGGCGGAUCACGGGGUCAUGAGAUCGAGACUAUCCUGGCUAACAUGGUGAAACCCCGUCUCUACUAAAAAUACAAAAAAAAAAAAAAAAAAUUAGCCGGGUAUGGUGGCGGGCGCCUGUAGUCCCAACUAAUCAGGAAGCUGAGGCAGGAGAAUGGCGUGAACCUGAGAAGUGGAGCUUGCGGUGAGCCCAGAUCACGCCAGUGCACUCCAGCCCAGACGGCAGCGCAAGACUGUGUCUCAAAAAAAAAAAAAGUGGAACAACCGCUUUGAAAAAUAAUUCGCUUCUCAAUAAGGCCAACAUACAUCUACCCUAUAGCACAGCAAUUUCAAUUCUAGAAAUUUAUCCAACAAAAAUAAAAGCAUAUAUUUACACAAAAACCUGUUUGAGAAUGCACCUAAGUCCUUUAUUUGUAAAAGCUAAUUCUGAAAGCAAUCUGAAUAUUCACUAACAGACUAAUGAAUAAGCAAACUCUGACAAAUACGUAGGCAACUCAGAAAUAUGAGGAAAAAUAAAAAAAUGAUACACACAAAUAUUUGGCUAAAUCUCAAAUAUUUAUUUAUGCUAAAGAAAAUAAACCAGAUACACACUCACACACACAUCCUGUAGGAAUUCUAAUUAUUGGAAUUUGAAGAUGAACAAAAUUAAUCAAUCAUGAUAGAAAUUAUAAGGGUUUAAUCUGAGUUAUUUGGGAUGCUGAAGCCGGAGAAUCGCUUGAACCCGGGAGGCGGAGGUUGCAGUGACCUCACAUUGUACCACUGCACUCUAGCCUGGGUAACAGAGUAAGACUACGUCUUAAAACAAACAAACAAACCAAAGAAAUUAUACAGGUUUGCCUCUGAAGAAGAGAAGAGAAGUUUGAAUAAGCACAAUAGUAUUUUCUAGAUUUAGUGUAAUUAGCUAAAUAUAUCAAUUUAUAAAAAGUAUGAAACCACAUUUUUGACACGUUUAUUAUAUUUAAAAUAUAGCGCAAUAAAAUAAGGUUAGGAAAUGAUUGCAUAUUAAUCUCUGAGAGGAAGAAUGUUAUCUGUUGGUAGAAUUAAUAAAGUUACUCAUUUCUUAUAAGAAGUAAAGAUAUAUUGGCCGGGUGCGGUGGCUCGCGCCUAUAAUCCCAGCACUUUGGGAGGCUGCGGCAGGCGGAUCACAAUGUCAAGAGAUUGAGACCAUCCUGGCUAACACGGUGAAACCCUAUCGCUACUAAAAAUACAAAAAAUAAGACGGGCGUGGUGGCGGGCACCUGUUGUCCCAGCUAUUCAGGAGGCUGAGGUAGGAGGACAGCGUGAACUUGGGAGGCAGAGCUUGCAGUGAGCCGAGAUCAUGUCACUGCACUCCAACCUGGGCUGCAGAGUGAGACUCCGUCUCAAAAAAAAAGAAAAAAGAAGUAAAGAUAUAUCUAUUAACCUGUAUAGAGAGGUAGAAGCAAGAGAAGCAUAAACAUAUAAUUUCAAUGCAAUAUGGUAAGUAAAAUGAUAGUGGUACUUUUUCUGAAUUUUCAGAUAUCAAUUAUUUAUUUAUAAACAGUUCUUUAGAGGGUGAUUUAUUUUCUCUAUAGAUGUCAACAAGAUACACUUGCCUUGUAUGGCAAAAAUAAAUUAAUUUUAGCUUUGUGCAGAUACAUCCUAUUGAGUUACAAAGUGAUGCUAUCAAACACCAUUGACAACAACAAAUUCAGGAUUUAUGGCUUUCUUUGUCUCUGUUUCUCUCUCCUUCUCUCUCUCUCUCUCUCUCUCUCUCUCUGUGUAUAUAUAUACAUAUAUGUAUAUUAUACAUAUAUAGUUUAGGAUACAUGUGUAUUUAUAUAUAAUUUUAUUUUUUAGAACAAAAUUAAACAUAAAGUGUCUUUAAAUGAAAGUCUGUGUUUGUAACACAAUCUUAUGACAUCAGCAUUAAAAAGGCUAUUCAGAACACUUCCUCAAAUUGAAACUAUUACCAAUACUGAGUUAAAUAUUUUAGGACUACUUCAUUAUCUAGGAAAUUUGAGAAGCAAAUUAACUCUUUGCUCAGAGUAUUGUGAUACCAUAUCUUUUCUUGUAAAAUAAGAUAUUGUUUAAUUAUAAAAUAUUGUCAAAUUUCUGAAAAAGUGUUUAUAUAAGUGUUAGGAAUAUGUUAGCCCUGGGAGCCAUGUGUUACUUAUCAUUGUACAGAUCUUCUUGCUGACACAACUGGGUAUGGUAGACGGCCUGAUAUGAUUAACUGCAAGUAAAGCAGAAAUUAUUAAAAACAAUAUUGAGGCCAGGCAAGGUGGCUCAUGCCUGUAGUUCCAGCACUUUGGGAGGUCGAGGCAGGUGGAUCACGAGGUCAGGCAUUCAAGACUAGCCUGACCAAGACAGUGAAACCCCGUCUUUACUAAAAAUACAAAAUUAGGUGGGCAUGGUGGUGGGUUCCUGUAAUCCCAGGCUGAGGAAGAUAAUUGCUUGAACCCAGAAGGUGGAGGUGGAGGUUGCAGUGAGUCGAGAUCACACCACCGCACUCUAGCCUGGGUGACAGAGUAAGACAACGUCUCAAAAACAAAAACAAAAACAAAACAAACAAACAAACUAAAUUAACUGGAUGUUAAAUGUGGUUUCUUUACAUUUACCAGAAUUUCUGCCAAGGUCCUAAUGGCCCCAAAUAAUAGGUGCUACAUUAUCAAGCAGAUAUAUCAAGAGAUUGUGAUAAUGUUAAUGAAACCCCUUUGCUCAUCACUCAUUUCCAAAAUUUAUAUUUUCAAAGGGAAUUUUGUACAGAGUUCCUAAAAAAAGGGAUCAUGAUGCCAGUGUAUUGCCUCACUGAUUGCUAAAUGAAGAGGACUAUACUGAAGCAUUCAAAGAACGUGAUGUGCCUCUGGGGCAACUGAAGGAUUGCUAUCUGACUUAUGCAUUUAAAACCUUCAAAGUGGAAGUUUGUCUGGAAUGGCUUAGGCAAACAGACUGGGUUGGAUUGAGAAUUGAAUGUAUACAUAAAAUUUGGUUUGGUCAGAUGAGUACACCAAAUGUGGUAGCUAGCUCACCUUUAUUUAUGAGAUUUUUAUUGGGUUGAUUUGUCUUGAAAGAAUCAAAUCUAAGAGAAAUGUUUGGAAUGGCUAGAUGAUCCUAACAGAAGAAAUCUUACAGGUCUUUACUGCUAAACCUAAGGAGAUGAGAGUAAACAGUAAGUGGCCAACUCAAAGAAGCAUGGACUAUGUUGAAACAUGGACUAUAGCUGCAAUUUCCCAGUGGUGCAGUUUUCAAGCGUUUUACCCCAGGAGAGAAAAAAAUAAAUAAAUGAAAAGUAGCCAUUUCACCAUUCAGAGGAUACUGUUGCCCAGUGAAAACUGCAUGAAUUAUGUAAUAGUUUUAUGCUUGUUUCCCCCACUCACCAUUCCAAAACUGUAAGACUUCAAGAUAGAACAGGAGGUAUGAAAUUUUAACAGCACAUAAAAAAAUAGUGAACAUUCUAUCCCCGCACUUCAUUGCCAUUACUAAGGCUAAGGCAGGACUGAGUUUAGAAUGCAGCAAAGCUUUGAAAUGUAUAAGAGAUAAUAUCUCUAAUAUUCAAAUACACCAUAAACUCAAAACUUAGAAUCAAUCCUAUUUUUAAAAUACUGAAUGUGAC
rnacentral:lncRNA from 1 species